UGCAAGAGUUUUGUCUAGCAAAGGCAUAAAGAACAGUCACUAUGAGGACCCAGACAAUUAUGAUCAUGGCGGUAGUGCUAGUAUUUGCCUGCUUGUGGCAAAUUGAUCAGAAGAG